rnacentral:rRNA from 1 species
UACGAAGGGGGCUAGCGUUGCUCGGAAUUACUGGGCGUAAAGAGCUCGUAGGCGGUUCGAUAAGUCGGACGUGAAAUCUCCACGCUCAACGUGGAGGGGCCGUUCGAUACUGUCGUGACUCGAGUCCGGUAGGGGAGUGUGGAAUUCCCGGUGUAGCGGUGAAAUGCGCAGAGAUCGGGAGGAACACCCGUAGCGAAGGCGGCACUCCUGG